rnacentral:rRNA from 1 species
CUACGGGGCGCUGCAGUGAGGAAUAUUGGUCAAUGGACGAGAGUCUGAACCAGCCAUCCCGCGUGCAGGAUGACGGCCCUAUGGGUUGUAAACUGCUUUUCUAUACCAAGAAACCUGUCUACGUGUAGACAGUUGCCGGUAGUAUAGGAAUAAGCAUCGGCUGAACUCCGUGCCAGCAGCCGCGGUAAUACGGAGGAUGCAAGCGUUAUCCGGAUUCAUUGGGUUUAAAGGGUGCGCAGGUGGGAUAGUAAGUCAGUGGUGAAAGCUUGCCGCUUAACGGUAAAACUGCCAUUGAUACUGCUGUUCUAGAGUAUGGUUGAGGUAGGCGGAAUGUGUUGUGUAGCGGUGAAAUGCAUAGAUAUGACACAGAACGCCGAUUGCGAAGGCAGCUUACUAAGCCAUUACUGACGCUGAGGCACGAAAGCGUGGGGAGCGAACAGGAUUAGAUACCCUAGUAGUC